GUUGUUUUUAUUUGUUUUUUAAAUUGGCAUUUAAAGGGGAGGUAACUCUAAAAAAAAGUGCAUUUUCUGAAGGAUUCUGUAUGGAAUUUUCCUAUUUUGUAUUUUAGCCGGAAAAAACGUACGGUGACCCUAUCUUUUCUUUUGAUAUCCUCAAAGCAGUGUCUGAAAGCUAUCUUUUCCUGAAGUAUUUAACAAUUCUAUCAUUUUGUUUAGUUUCUAAUCACAAAAUGGUG
rnacentral:lncRNA from 1 species